AGAUUUCUAGAAGUAUCAGUAAAGACAUUGAGAAUGCACUGUUGGACCGGUCUACUGAUAUGGUAGAGGAGGUGCCUACUGAGAAUUAUGUAGAAGAAGAAAUAAGGAAACCUGGCAAACAGUAUUCAUUCGGAGCAGACGCGGCAGGACGAUUUCUAAGUAGAGAGGACUGCCAAACUUCUCUAGUGGUUUGAAUUAUGGUUGUAUAAUAAGGUUAGAUAAUCUUAAUGCGCUCCAAUUUACGAAAAUGUCGUCUUUAAAGCAAUUCAAAAUCCUCAUUUGACGUAACUGAUUAUUCUGAUUAAAUAUUGUGGUAGACUAAACAUUAUGAUAAUUACUGCAUUAUUUAGCUUUAAACUAGUCAGCACAAUCAAUAUUUGUUAAAUGUGAUGAUUGUUAAUCAAGUAUUAGACAGGAUUGAGAGAGUGUCCAUUGCUGUGGAGACGGCGACAUUUCCGUACAUUGGAGCGCAUUCAGAAUAUCUUCUCAGAAUAUACAACCUUGGUUUAAAACUUGAAAUACACUUCCUUCUCUCACUUGGUGUUGCUUUGUUUGAGACAAUUAAUAACCCUGUAAUUCUCCCUUUCAAUCGACAGUUUCUCUUUGUUUAUAUGGUUUAUAUCUCUGCUGUUUGAACCCCUGGUAGUUGAACUGAGGACGCAGUGUUGUGGAAAACUUCUUUAGGAU